AUUGAACGCUGGCGGCAGGCUUAACACAUGCAAGUCGAGCGGGGUGAUGGUGCUUGCACUAUCACUUAGCGGCGGACGGGUGAGUAAUGCUUAGGAAUCUGCCUAUUAGUGGGGGACAACAUCUCGAAAGGGAUGCUAAUACCGCAUACGUCCUACGGGAGAAAGCAGGGGAUCACUUGUGACCUUGCGCUAAUAGAUGAGCCUAAGUCGGAUUAGCUAGUUGGUGGGGUAAAGGCCUACCAAGGCGACGAUCUGUAGCGGGUCUGAGAGGGUGAUCAGCCACACUGGGACUGAGACACGGCCCAGACUCCUACGGGAGGCAGCAGUGGGGAAUAUUGGACAAUGGGGGGAACCCUGAUCCAGCCAUGCCGCGUGUGUGAAGAAGGCCUUAUGGUUGUAAAGCACUUUAAGCGAGGAGGAGGCUCUUUUGGUUAAUACCCAAGAUGAGUGGACGUUACUCGCAGAAUAAGCACCGGCUAACUCUGUGCCAGCCGCCGCGGUAA
rnacentral:rRNA from 1 species